rnacentral:rRNA from 1 species
UACGUAGGGUGCAAGCGUUGUCCGGAAUUAUUGGGCGUAAAGAGCUCGUAGGCGGUUCGUCGCGUCGGCUGUGAAAACCCGGAGCUCAACUCCGGGCCUGCAGUCGAUACGGGCGGACUGGAGUUCGGCAGGGGAGACUGGAAUUCCUGGUGUAGCGGUGGAAUGCGCAGAUAUCAGGAGGAACACCGGUGGCGAAGGCGGGUCUCUGGGCCGAUACUGACGCUGAGGAGCGAAAGCGUGGGGAGCGAACAGG